GAUGAACGCUAGCGGCAGGCUUAACACAUGCAAGUCGAGGGGCAGCGCGGGAUAGCAAUAUCCUGGCGGCGACCGGCGGAAGGGUGCGUAACGCGUGAGCGACAUGCCCGUUGCCCGGGGACAACCGGUGGAAACGCCGACUAAUCCCCGAUGGGAUACGAUGCUUCAUGGCAUUGUAUUGAAAGUUACGGCGGCGACGGAUUGGCUCGCGUCCGAUUAGCUGGUUGGCGGGGUAACGGGCCACCAAGGCUGCGAUCGGUAGGGGUUGUGAGAGGAAGGCCCCCUACAAUGGUACUGAGACACGGCCCAUACGACUACGGGAGGCAGCAGUGAGGAAUAUUGGUCAAUGGGCGGAAGCCUGAACCAGCCAUGCCGCGUGCGGGAAGGAGGCCCUAUGGGCUGUGAACCGCUUUUGCCUGGGGGCAAUAAGGGCGUCGCGAACGUCCGAUGAGAGUACCAGGCGAAUAAGCAUCGGCUAACUCCGUG
rnacentral:rRNA from 1 species